AUGAACCUUUGAGGGUUGAGCUGGCGUUUAUUCGCAUGUGCUUGCCCUCUCAUCCUUUAUACACCUGUGCACUUUGAAGGGAGACAUUAGUAGACAUUCACUUGUCGAAGGUAUCUCCCUUACACUACAUACUCUAAUGAUUACUUUGAAUGUUAAACGCUUAACAGCAUUUAAUUA
rnacentral:misc_RNA from 1 species